rnacentral:rRNA from 1 species
AGUGAACGCUGGCGGUAGGCCUAACACAUGCAAGUCGAACGGCAGCACAGUAAGAGCUUGCUCUUACGGGUGGCGAGUGGCGGACGGGUGAGGAAUACAUCGGACUCUACUUUUUCGUGGGGGAUAACGUAGGGAAACUUACGCUAAUACCGCAUACGACCUACGGUUGAAAGCAGGGGAUCUUCGGACCUUGCGCGAUUGAAUGAGCCGCUGUCGGAUUAGCUAGUUGGCGGGGUAAUGGCCCACCAAGGCGACGAUCCGUAGCCGGUCUGAGAGGAUGAUCAGCCACACUGGAACUGAGACACGGUCCAGACUCCUACGGGAGGCAGCAGUGGGGAAUAUUGGACAAUGGGCGCAAGCCUGAUCCAGCCAUACCGCGUGGGUGAAGAAGACCUUCGGGUUGUAAAGCCCUUUUGUUGGGAAAGAAAAGCAGCAGGUUAAUACCCCGCUGUUCUGACGGUACCCAAAGAAUAAGCACCGGCUAACUUCGUG